rnacentral:rRNA from 1 species
UACGUAGGGUGCGAGCGUUAAUCGGAAUUACUGGGCGUAAAGCGUGCGCAGGCGGUUUUGUAAGCCAGAUGUGAAAUCCCCGGGCUUAACCUGGGAAUGGCAUUUGGGACUGCAAGGCUGGAGUGUGGCAGAGGAGACUGGAAUUCCUGGUGUAGCAGUGAAAUGCGUAGAUAUCAGGAGGAAUACCGAUGGCGAAGGCAGGUCUCUGGGCUGACACUGACGCUCAUGCGCGAAAGCGUGGGGAGCAAACAGG